CCCCCAGCUCUGGUGAUGAACCCACGUGCCUCUGAGCUGUCGUGAUUUUGGCUUCAAAGUAAACGCUCUGAAGAGAUGGGGCAGAAG
ensembl:snoRNA SNORD105 small nucleolar RNA, C/D box 105